rnacentral:lncRNA from 1 species
UCUGUAGAGUUCUUAAAUAAAAAAGGGUAAACUUCAAAUAUCCCCCUUGUGGUUCCACACUUUCUCACUUUAGUACAGUAUGGUUUAAAGUGUAUCAAGUUAGCCCCUGUGGUUUCACAUUUUCUCACUUUAGUACCUUGUGGUUUAAAGUGUAUCAAGUUAGUACAUUGUGGUUUUAUUUUUCUCUUUUUAUUAUCCGUUUCACUAAUUUUUUUUCAUUAAAUAAGCGACAAAGUUAAAAUUAAAGGGUACUAAAGUGGAUAUUCGAUAAAUCUAGGUAAGGUGUUUGAAGUUUUUUGUAAAUAAUUUAACAAAAUAUUAACGGAGGAAAAAAAAUAAGUGACAAAGUUUAAACUAAAGGUACUAAAGUAAAUAUUCGAUAAAUCUAUAUAGGGUAUCCAAAAUUUUUUUUAUAUAAUUUAACGAAAUAUUAACGGAGAAGCCGAUGAAAAGAGAAAAAUAAAACUAUAGGGUACUAAAUUGAUACAUUUUAAACCAUGCACGAGAUAUUAAAGUGAAAAAAUACCAAACCACAUGAAUGAUAUUUAAAGUUUUUUCAAUAAAAAAAAACACUCUAUUCUUAUCAUAUUUUAACUUAUCUAGGACUUUGUAAAACCAUUUGUCAAUCAUUAAAAGGGCCCGUUUGGACUAGCUUCUAAAAAAGUGAUUUUUUAAAAAGUGAUUUUGAUUUGGAGGAGUGAUUUUGAUUAAAAGCUAUAGAACGUUUGGCUGAGUUUACAUAAAAGUGAUUUUUCUGAAGUGAUUUUGAAAAGCAGUUUGACAAAUUUUUUUUGAUGUUUGCAUAAAUUAAUAUUUUCACUAAAUUUUAUUUUAAAAUAAUUUAAAAUCUAAAUUUAAAUUUGAAUUAAAAUUAAAAUUUUUAAAUUUCAAAAUUAUACAAAAUUUAAAAUUUGAUAUUUUAAUUUUAAAAAUAAUUUAAAAAUUUAAAAAUUUAAAAUUUAAAAUAAUUAUGAAAUUUAAAAUUUAAAAAUAUAAAUAUAAAUUUAAAAAUAUAAAUAAUUAUGAAGUUUAAAAUAUAAAAUAUUAAUAUUUAAAAAUAUAUUUAAAUUUUAAAUUU